GCCAGGUGUGGUGGCGCACACCUGUAAUCCCAGCUACUUGGGAGGCUGAGGCAGGAGAAUCACUUGAAACUGGGAGGCAGAGGUUGCAGUGAGCUGAGAUCAUGCCACUGCACUCCAGCUUGGGCAAUAGAGUGAGACUCUGUCUCAA
rnacentral:sRNA from 1 species